CCUACGGGGGGCAGCAGUAGGGAAUAUUGCUCAAUGGGGGAAACCCUGAAGCAGCAACGCCGCGUGGAGGAUGAAGGUUUUCGGAUUGUAAACUUCUUUCGUUAGAGAAGAUAAUGACGGUAUCUAAUGAAGAAGCACCGGCUAACUCCGUGCCAGCAGCCGCGGUAAUACGGAGGGGGCAAGCGUUAUUCGGAAUUACUGGGCGUAAAGAGCGCGUAGGCGGGAUAGCAAGUCAGAUGUGAAAUCCUAGGGCUUAACCAUAGAACUGCAUUUGAAACUGUUAGUCUAGAGUGUGGGAGAGGUAAGUGGAAUUCUUGGUGUAGGGGUAAAAUCCGUAGAGAUCAAGAGGAAUACUCGUUGCGAAGGCGACCUGCUGGAACAUAACUGACGCUGAUGCGCGAAAGCGUGGGGAGCAAACAGGAUUAGAUACCCCAGUAGUC
rnacentral:rRNA from 1 species